rnacentral:rRNA from 1 species
AGUGAACGCUGGCGGUAGGCCUAACACAUGCAAGUCGAACGGCAGCACAGUAAGACCUUGCUCUUACGUGUGGCGAGUGGCGGACGUGCGAGGAAUACAUCCGAAUCUACCUUUUCGUGAGGGUUAACCUAGGGAAACUUACGCAAUUACCCCAUACGACCUACGUGUGAAAGCAGGGGAUCUUCGGACCUUUCGCUAUUGAAUGAGCCGACGUCGGAUUAGCUAGUUGGCGGGGUAACGGCCCACCAAGGCGACGAUCCGUAGCUGGGCUGAGAGGAUGGUCAGACACACUAGAACUGAGACACGGUACAGACUAGAAUGGGAGGGAGGAGUGGAGAAUAUUGGACAAUGGGAGGAAGCCGAAUCCAGCCAUACCGCGUGGGUGGAAGAGGGACUGGGGUAGGAAAGGCAUUUUGUUGGGAAAGGAAAGCAACAGGUGAAUACCCCGCUGUUCUGACGGUACCCAAAGAAUAAGCACCGGCUAACUUCGUG